rnacentral:lncRNA from 10 species
AGCAAUGAAAUCAGAAGAUUAAACAAGGUGAUUCUUGAUCAACUUGAUGAGGGCAAGAGGAAGCGUAGCAAAUCCAGCAAACAAAUAUGUGCAUGGAAAAGACCCCAGAUGGUCCUGUGGUUUCACUUCCUAUUUGGUUUCUGAACUCUCUGAGCACGAGACUUGGAGACGUGGAGUCCUUUCACUGCAGCUUUCAAAACCUUUCUUAGGGCUGAUAUGACAAUUGCUGGCACUGCGUAAUUGCUGUGUGGCUACUUGAAAACUUCUCCACUAGAGACUCACUGAGAGCACCUAUUCUGUUGAAUGGAUUUGGCACAAGGAGGAGGAGAGAAGACAAAUGGCCUGGGCUGGUAAGAGACAAAAGUGCCGUGUGUGAGUCUUGGCCCACCUACCUGCUGUGAGACUCUGGGCAAAUCACCUGGUCCCUCUCUUCCCACAUCUUCUGAUGAGCCUUGCUGCCUAUUUCCUGAGUAGCUCAGUGGCCACCAGAGACCCCAGGCUCUUUAUCAACAUUUCAAGAUUGUAUUAGCCCAGAGACCAUGUCCCAACAAAAUGCCACCAGGAACUCAUGUGGGACGGAGCUGGAAGAUGCCAGCGGUUGCCCCUUCCCCAUGUUAGUGCCUCUUUUCUCCGCACCAACCCUCAGUUCACACCAGAAUGAGACUGCCUGCAUUCACUUUCUGCUCUUACUUCAGAGAAUGUGGCUUAUUCUCAGGCAAUGAACCAGAGGACAACAGACAUUUUCUUUGAGGGAAAUGCAACUUUUUGAAAUUAAAAGGGCAUUUUGUUUUAAUUGAAGAACAUUCAGAUCAGAAACUGGGUUAAAAAUAAACACUGCAGAGCCAGACACAGUGGCUCAGGCCUGUAAUCUUAGCAUUUUGGGAGGCCAAGGCAGGUGGAUCACUUGAGGCCAGGAGUUCAAGACCAGCCUGGCCAACAUGGCAAAAGCCAUCUCUACUAAAAAUAUAAAAAUUAGCAGGGCAUGGUGGCAUCGGCCUGUAAUCCCAGCUACCUGGGAGGCCGAGGCAUGAGAAUCGCUUGAACCUGGGAAGCGGAGGUUGCAGUGAGCCGAGAUCAUGCCACCACACUCCAGCCUGGGCAACAGAGCGAGACUCUGUCUCAAAAUAAAAUAAAAUAAAAUAAUAAGUAAACCCUGCAGAAUCUGAGAGAACAGAGCUCUCGAUGUGGGGGUCUGAUCAGUUUUCCAAGCGUCAACAGACUGGUCCUUCCUAGGAUGCGUGUUUCUUCUGCGGUCGUGUUUACACAUUGGUUUCUGGCAAGAGCAAAGUGUUUGCUUGUGACCUUAAAUAAAAUGCAGACAUCACCUCACUGAGUCUCAUCAAAAGCAGAACUUGUCCUCUCAUUCAUCUUUGUCAGACCAGCAGGAGCAGCCAGGCUAGGUCAUCCAGGGUGACAGUCUCCUUCUCCAUGGAGGUGAAGAUUUCAUCCUGCAUUCUGCUAAUCGGGCUUGGGCCCGCCUUAACCCUGUGAGUGGUUAACACUCC